ACCCGCACAAGCGGUGGAUGAUGUGGAUUAAUUCGAUGCAACGCGAAAACCUUACCUACCCUUGACAUGUCCGGAAUCCCGAAGAGAUUUGGGAGUGCUCGCAAGAGAGCCGGAACACAGGUGCUGCAUGGCUGUCGUCAGCUCGUGUCGUGAGAUGUUGGGUUAAGUCCCGCAACGAGCGCAACCCUUGUCAUUAAUUGCCAUCAUUCAGUUGGGCACUUUAAUGAGACUGCCGGUGACAAACCGGAGGAAGGUGGGGAUGACGUCAAGUCCUCAUGGCCCUUAUGGGUAGGGCUUCACACGUAAUACAAUGGUCGGUACAGAGGGUUGCCAACCCGCGAGGGGGAGCCAAUCCCAGAAAACCGAUCGUAGUCCGGAUUGCAGUCUGCAACUCGACUGCAUGAAGUCGGAAUCGCUAGUAAUCGCGGAUCAGCAUGUCGCGGUGAAUACGUUCCCGGGCCUU
rnacentral:rRNA from 1 species